GACGAACGCUGGCGGCGUGCUUAACACAUGCAAGUCGAACGAAGAGCGAUGGAAGCUUGCUUCUAUCAAUCUUAGUGGCGAACGGGUGAGUAACGCGUAAUCAACCUGCCCUUCAGAGGGGGACAACAGUUGGAAACGACUGCUAAUACCGCAUACGAUCUAACCUCGGCAUCGAGGAUAGAUGAAAGGUGGCCUCUACAUGUAAGCUAUCACUGAAGGAGGGGAUUGCGUCUGAUUAGCUAGUUGGAGGGGUAACGGCCCACCAAGGCGAUGAUCAGUAGCCGGUCUGAGAGGAUGAACGGCCACAUUGGGACUGAGACACGGCCCAGACUCCUACGGGAGGGAGCAGGGGGGAAACUUCCGCAAGGGACGAAAGUCUGACGGAGCAACGCCGCGUGAGUGAUGACGGCCUUCGGGUUGUAAAGCUCGGUUAAUCGGGACGAAAGGCCUUCUUGCGAAUAGUUAGAAGGAUUGACGGUACCGGAAUAGAAAGCCACGGCUAACUACGUG
rnacentral:rRNA from 1 species